rnacentral:pre_miRNA from 1 species
AGAGCCGGCUGCAGCCAAGGAUGAAUUGCCGGCUGCCGUACCACGCUUCGGCGCACCGGCGACUACUCACACCCAUCCUUCCACACGGGCCAUUCCUGCCAGCCGGCGAGUCUAUCCUUGGCUACAUCUAGCUCGCU